GGGGAAUAUUGCGCAAUGGGCGAAAGCCUGACGCAGCCACGCCGCGUGAGCGAUGAAGGCCUUCGGGUCGUAAAGCUCUGUGGGGAGAGAAGAAUAAAGCCUGUGAAGAGCAGGCCUUGACGGUAUCUCCUUAGCAAGCACCGGCUAACUCUGUGCCAGCAGCCGCGGUAAUACGGAGGGUGCAAACGUUGCUCGGAAUCAUUGGGCGUAAAGCGCACGUAGGCGGCGAAGCAAGUCGGGUGUGAAAGCCCUGGGCUCAACCCAGGAAGUGCAUUCGAAACUAUUUCGCUUGAAUCUCGGAGGGGGUCAGAGAAUUCCCGGUGUAGAGGUGAAAUUCGUAGAUAUCGGGAGGAAUACCAGUGGCGAAGGCGCUGACCUGGACGAAGAUUGACGCUGAGGUGCGAAAGCGCGGGGAGCAAAC
rnacentral:rRNA from 1 species